rnacentral:misc_RNA from 1 species
GUGAGUCAUCGAAUCUUUGAACGCACAUUGCGCCCCUUGGUAUUCCGGGGGGCACACCUGUUCGAGCGCCAUUUCGACCCUCAAGCAUAGCUUGGUGUUGGGCAAUGCUCCUAAGGGGAGCUGCCCGUAACUUGUAGGCGGUCGCCGCCCGCUCCCCCAGCGUAGCAAGCUUACGCGUUCGCUCGGGGACGGUGCGUCUGACAAGCCCAAAAAUUUACUUUCUAUGUUUGGCCUCGGAUCAGGUGGGGAUACCCGCUGAACUUAAGCAUAUCAAUAAGCGGAGGA